rnacentral:rRNA from 1 species
AUUGAACGCUGGCGGCAUGCCUUACACAUGCAAGUCGAAUGGCAGCACGGGAGCAAUCCUGGUGGCGAGUGGCGAACGGGUGAGUAAAGCAUCGGAACGUGCCCAGUCGUGGGGGAUAACGUAGCGAAAGCUACGCUAAUACCGCAUACGAUCUGUGGAUGAAAGCGGGGGACCGUAAGGCCUCGCGCGAUUGGAGCGGCCGAUAUCAGAUUAGCUAGUUGGUGAGGUAAAGGCUCACCAAGGCGACGAUCUGUAGCGGGUCUGAGAGGAUGAUCCGCCACACUGGAACUGAGACACGGUCCAGACUCCUACGGGAGGCAGCAGUGGGGAAUUUUGGACAAUGGGGGCAACCCUGAUCCAGCCAUGCCGCGUGAGUGAAGAAGGCCUUCGGGUUGUAAAGCUCUUUCGUCCGGGAAGAAAUCGCAUCAGCAAAUACCUGGUGUGGAUGACGGUACCGGAAUAAGAAGCACCGGCUAAAGACGGGCCAGCCGCCGCGGUAAAAC